rnacentral:rRNA from 1 species
GACGAACGCUGGCGGCGUGCUCAACACAUGCAAGUCGAACGGAAAGGCCCUGCUUUUGUGGGGUGCUCGAGUGGCGAACGGGUGAGUGACACGUGAGUAACCUGCCCUUGACUUUGGAAUAACUUCAGGAAACUGGGGCUAAUACCGGAUAGGAGCUCCUGCUGCAUGGUGGGGGUUGGAAAGUUUCGGCGGUUGGCGAUGGACUCGCGGCUUAUCAGCUUGUUGGUGGGGUAGUGGCUUACCAAGGCUUUGACGGGUAGCCGGCCUGAGAGGGUGACCGGCCACAUUGGGACUGAGAUACGGCCCAGACUCCUACGGGGGGCAGCAGUGGGGAAUAUUGCACAAUGGGCGGAAGCCUGAUGCAGCAACGCCGCGUGCGGGAUGACGGCCUUCGGGUUGUAAACCGCUUUCGCCUGUGACGAAGCGUGAGUGACGGUAAUGGGUAAAGAAGCACCGGCUAACUACGUGCCAGCCGCCGCGGUAAAAC